rnacentral:lncRNA from 10 species
CAUCCAGGAACUCUCAUGCUAGCAGGAUGAGGUAAUGACUAUUUCCCAUACUCGUGUCAACUUUGAGCAAUGCUAGGAAUUUCCAUAUGUCCAAACAACUGUUUAUCAGGAAAUGCAACAAGGUACUUUUGACACUGAGCGUGAAAGGAACUCAUUGAACCAAAAUCUUCCAAAAAGACUGGAACAUAAGAGAGCGGAUGAAGAGCAUAAUAGAAGAGAAGUGCCAGGGAGGAGGAUUAUCUUAGGCAGAGCACACUGAGGAUGGAGAGUUACCAGCCCUCCCGAGCUGUCGUUGGCACUGAACCAAUGAGAGCCAUUCAUGUGCCUGUCUGUGCCUUGUGUUUUUCUUCUUCAACAUAUACUUUAGAACAUCCAUUCUGUGCAAAGCUCUGUGCCCACAGCUGUUGAGAUGCCAGAUGCAUGCUGUUCCCUGCCCUGAAGACCCCAGCAGUCAGGCCAGGGAGAGAAGACAUUCUUAGACAACCCAACAGUCGUCCCUGGGGAAAGGUGCCCCUCCAAGAGGACAGGAAUUGGACCCACUUUGGGUAGCCUUGUACAAUGCAACCCAGCACCCAGCAACGUCCUGAAGAGGCUGCUGACUGCUCUGGUCGAAGUGGAGCAGGGCCCUUCCUCCCUCCACUGGAAAGGGUGGGCAAGAAGCAUCAGUGCUUCUGGUAUUUGACUCAGUGAGACCUAGAUAUUGCAGAUCUGCCAUCAAAAAUAUUUGUAAAGCCGUUUGCACCACUAUUAUCCUUCUGCUCCUUUUAAAACCUAACAGGCAGGCCCAACUUGGAAACUUCCAAGAAUGAAACACCACCUUCAGAAAACGUGGUAAUUGAUAGAAGAGUCUGGUGCUACUGCAUGAUGCAUUCCAUACCCUCUGGGCUCCUCUCUCUAGUUCUUUAACCUAGUCUCUCUCAAGCUAUGAUGAGAAAGGCACUGAUUAUUUCAAAAUGGUGCAAAUCACCUGCUGUUUAAAAAACAAGAUAAAUCCCCCAAAAACGAAAAAAAUGAAGUUGUCAAAGACACUGGAAUGAAAUUUCUGAAGAACCAAUCUUUUCCCACUGUGUUUCUCCAUCAAAAGGAAAAGCUAGGCAAGCUUGUUGAAAUGAUCAGCUCCAUGUGUUCAGCCUGAGUAUAGGGUAGCAGGAAACUGCACCCUAAUUUUAGUGUUCUGCAUGGACUCUCAUUACUGCCCAAGCACAUGGCUCUCACAUGCAUAAGUCCUUCUUGAGUACUGGUUGCUAACCCUCCUCCACACUUGGUUUGCAGAGGAUAUUUCCAGAGUUAGAAGGGUCUUCCAGAAUUUCAGAAAAAGAGCACCAGAUAUUCAAUAAACCAUGGUUUUUCUAAAGGA